ACCUGCCAUCGCUUCCUCCGCCAAUCAGACGGCGUGUUUGGGCCGAGAGCCCUCCCCGGCCAAUCGGGAGCCGGCUGAGCCACUUAGUUAAUGAUGCAGCAGUACAGGGAAGACUAUCACAUGUGAGCUGGAAGGCUGCCAACAUGGAGACACGGAGAGAGCAAGCUGGUGUGGAAGCGUCUGGAAGGCACCGUGUACCUGUCCCCAGUGCUUUUAAAAACUGGCCGACGUGCCCUGCAAUGAUCACUGCGUCACCGUUUGCCACUUUCCGAACUACGCAGUGGCAAAGCCCCGAGCCCAGCUCACAGGGUGGCUGUUAACCCCUGCACCCAGCCCUGCCUCCACGCCAGCCCUCGGGGGGACGGCAGGGAAUAAAAAGCCCGAGCAAAACACGAAAACAGCAGUCUGCAAAGUUGUCAUCUCUCCCCCACGACUACUGCCCUCCUCUGCAUUACAGCAAUGCCGGCAAGAGUGGCAUUCGUACAACCUGUACCGAUGUUCCAUUGAGAAAACAGCUCUGACGCAGAGCAGAGCAAUCAUACCCAGCCGAAAUAAUAAUGAAGGCACUUGGGGAGCUGAACUUAGGGACGAUGGGGGAAGGGGACGCCCUGCAAAGCAUUACAAAACGUAGAUGCAGCUCCAGCCCCAUCCUGAUCAAAGG
rnacentral:lncRNA from 1 species